rnacentral:lncRNA from 1 species
CCAUCCUCCUUCAAUAGCAACAUCAUAGCUAACAAACCAUUUAAAUUGUCUACCCAUUAUACAUUACUUGUUUAUACAUAUAUAUGAGCGUCCUUCUAUUGCAACACAAAAAAAACACUCAAAUGAUUGAUGCCAACUUGCAGAAUUCAAAGUUUUUUUUUUGUUAGAAUCAUGGAUUAAACAUUAACUAACUAUUCCUAUCAAAAAUCAACUGUACAACUGCAAUGUACUAUACUAGACUACAACUCACCAAAAAAAUAAAUUGAAAUAAUUGCUGCCAAAUCCAAAAGUUUAGGCUUCAUGGUUAAAUUUUCAUAUUUUACUCACUAGCUAACUCACUACCCUACAAGAACUUAAUUUACAACUUCAAAUACCCAUCCCAAACAUUAUAAUUCAAAGAACCAACUAAUUAAUUGCUGCUAGCUCAAGGAAUUCAAAAUUCUCUAUUUAAUACCCAAAAUAUAUCCACCAUUCUUUAAUCAUUACUAAAAUUCUAGAUUAGGCAUUACGAACCAAUGUUUCCAUUAAAUUGCAAUUUAGUAAUCUCAUCUCUCAAGUAAUCCAAUACACAGCUUAAACAUAUAUACCAACCCCAACAAGUAUAAGAACAUCAAGGAAAAUAUAUAUCCAUUUCAUGUUAACCUAUUAAAAGAACACAACAUAUUCAAGAUGGUUGCUGCCCGCCAAAAGAAUAUAUGUUCCUUAACUCCUAAACUUAUGUGUAUAUAUAUAUAUAUAUAUAUAAGUUCAACUCAUUCCCAUCAUAAAUUAAAAUCCCAAUCACAUAAUCCAUAUCAAAAAGAGUUCAAGGCAAAGAGACUAAAAUGGCUACUGCCAUUCCAAAUUCCUCAACUUCUUCCACCUAAACCUGCAGUAAAUUUAUUAGUUGAUUUAUAGGCAUGUUGAAUUGCGAUUCACAAUCAAAUUUUUAAGAGUAACGCUUAAAGUUCCUUUCAAUGCUAACAGUAACUAACCAAGGGUUAAUUCCUAACAUUCCAAUAAUACUACAAAUCAUAAUCUUAAAUGAAAAAUUCAAGAAACAAACCCAAAAGGAUUGAAUUAUGGCUCACCUAGUCCAGAAAUAUGACAGAAAAAUUGAAUAUGCUUAUUAAAAGUGAUCGAAAACGAACCUUAAAAUCAAAACCCACUGCUGUCGGCGAUAGCUUGAUCGAAAAUGUGUGGGAAGGUGGCCGGAGGCAUGCUGGAAGCGAGAAGAGAGCGUGGUCCGGCCGGUCCUUG